rnacentral:lncRNA from 1 species
CAUAAUUGGCUAGAUGGUUAAAAGUUGAUGAAAUUAUCCUUAAAACUCGAGUUUGAUUCUCCCUUGUAGCAUAAUUUUUAUUUUGGCCUAAAACCCUAACUAUGUCAUCCCAUGUGGUAAAUCCCCUCUUCUCUUUUUUCUCAUCUUCCCCCAUUUUCUUUUCCUCUCUUUUUCAUUGUGUCGCCCCUAAGACCUAAUUUUAUUCCGUAUUCUUCUUCUUUAUUCCUAUGUUGUCGUCGCCCUAGUGAACAACCAUCGUUGUUGUCGCCGUCCAUUGGAAACCUCCCAUCCUCUCUUUAUUUUUUUGCUUCUUUAUUGUGGUACCAUUUAUUUUUGGUCCAUUAUUGCUGCCAUUUCGCACACCACUUCUGCCCCUUGAGGCCCCUCAAUCUCACUUCUUUUCUUCUUUAUUUGCUGUCGGUUUUGCACUUCUUUCAUCACACAUCUGAAUCUGGAGUGUAAGUUGAAGUUUGAAUUAGAUCUAGUAUUGUUUUUCCCUCUUCCUUGACUCCCUUUAAUGGCCGAAUCUAUCAGAGUUCAUGGUCGAAUCUCACAUGUGUUUUUUUUUUUUUUGUAUUUAUUUUUAUCAAGGUUCAGAUCCGAAUCACUUGGAUCAGCAGUAGCGCCAGAAGUUGCUUGCUCCACCCUUUAAAGUCAAAAUAGAGUAAGUAGUAAUCUCUAAAAUCAGAUCUGUAAAACCAAUCUUUUUCUCUAAUUUGGCGAACCCUUUAGGGUGAUUAACGGUUGAUUUCUAACAACUUUUCUUGUGUUAGGUACAAAUUUGAACUAGAUUUAGCUAGAUCUGAAACUUAGGACCUGUAGAUUAGCGAUAGUGCUUCUGUUUCGCGUUAAUCAGGUGUGGGUCCUAACUUUUUGUGUGUUAAUGAUUGUUGUAAGCAUGUGUAAGUGUUACUUUGGUGAUUGGCCGAUUAUAUAUGUGGUUUAAGUGCUAUGGCGGAAUGUUAUAGGGACUUAAGAUGUGUCUAUCCAAAUGUGUAAGUGCUAUAAAGAUUUAAGCUGAUUGUAUGAUUGCUGAAAUUGGUUGAAUUGCACUGUUAUUACUUGUAUUGUAGCAUGCUGAUUGUUAUUGUUAAAUUGAUUGCAUGUAAAACAUGCCAUUGACUGUUAUCGUAUAUUGUUUGCAUGUAAGUGUGGAAACUUUUUUUGGAAAUUGACUUUUUAUUUUAAAACGAAAAUGGAGUAGCCACCAAUCUUUUUUAUUAGGUGUGAUUGAAUUACCUCGAAACUUAAUCAUUUUAAUAAAAAAUCGUUAAAUUUACUAAAACGAUAAUUUUCAGUGUACAAAAUUCAGGAAGUGGGUUCGGGAGUCGAUUACGUAUGAGGAAUAAUUAGCACCCUCAUAACGCCCCAAAUUGAUACCUAGUAGAUUACUUGAUGUCUCAGUGUCGAGAAUUGAGAAUUCAAAGAAAAUUUAAAAUGCGAAACCCUUCUUGCAUGAUUUUGAUUAAAAUAUCGCUAGCUAAAUUAAAUUUUAUGGAAAGAGCCUUCUUAUUUCAAGUUAAUUAAGAAAAAAUGAUCAUAUU